GAUGAACGCUGGCGGCGUGCUUAACACAUGCAAGUCGAACGGAAAGGCUCCUGCUUGCAGGGGUACUCGAGUGGCGAACGGGUGAGUAACACGUGGGUGAUCUGCCCUGCACUUCGGGAUAAGCCUGGGAAACUGGGUCUAAUACCGGAUAGGACGAUGGUUUGGAUGCCAUUGUGGAAAGUUUUUUCGGUGUGGGAUGAGCUCGCGGCCUAUCAGCUUGUUGGUGGGGGAAUGGCCUACCAAGGCGUCGACGGGUAGCCGGCCUGAGAGGGUGUACGGCCACAUUGGGACUGAGAUACGGCCCAGACUCCUACGGGAGGCAGAAGUGGGGAAUAUUGCACAAUGGGCGCAAGCCUGAUGCAGCGACGCCGCGUGGGGGAUGACGGCCUUCGGGUUGUAAACUCCUUUCGCUAGGGACGAAGCGCAAGUGACGGUACCUGGAGAAGAAGCACCGGCUAACUACGUG
rnacentral:rRNA from 1 species